CUUUAUCCUCAAAACAUAACAUUAGGUGAAGCUAAGGGAAGAAAAGCCCUAUUACCCUCUUUCACAGUUGCAACGGCCAGAGAUAACAUAUGCAGCGUGAAGGGAACUGAAGCAAGAACUCAGAGCCUCUGUCGAUCUGCCGUCGGUGAUCCUAGUUUAUUUCGUUGUUCCAACAGGAUUUAAGUUUGUUGCAGCCACCUUCUACGAAGACGACGCAGACCUGCCGGCGAGCUUACCUUGUUGAUCCAGCCAGGUCGAAGUUCGAUUUUCCCAGGGAGAAGUAUUUUUCUGAGCCUAUGCCCACGAAGGUAAGUCGCUUCUCUCUCUCCCUCUCUCUGAAAAGGCAUCGAUUUAUGUCUGGACCUGUGAUUUGAAUGUGUGAAGUAUGGAAUGCAGAUUUAGGGUUCUUUCCUUGGUUGAUUUGAAUUUAUUUUCUAUAAAAUUUGAAUGUCUCCUGUGAAGCCUUGAAUCUCUGAUUUUUGGGAAAGAAACCUUACAAAAUUUGCUUGCUGUCUCUUGUAUAUGCUUCGUGAUUUAUGGUUUUAGGGAGAAGGGAUUAGGUACAGAAAUAUUCAUGAUCUUAAGACUCAAUUAGUUUCAAGGAGGUGAUGUUGAAACUUUUCUGAAUGGGAAUCCUUUAAUAUGUGGCUCAUGCAUGUUGAUGUCGAGAUCUUAAGUGUUAUUUAUGCAUUUGGACUUCAAAAUCACAUGCGACUCAUAACUUUGGACAGCAUUACUUGGCCCCCCCCCUCCCACCACCCCACCCACCCAAAAA